UCCGGUGUGGUCUAGUGGCUAGGAUACCUGGCUUUCACGCAGGAGGCCCGGGUUCGAUUCCCGGUACCGGAA
rnacentral:tRNA from 1 species